GAUGAACGCUGGCGGCGUGCCUAAUACAUGCAAGUCGAGCGAACAGACGAGGAGCUUGCUCCUCUGACGUUAGCGGCGGACGGGUGAGUAACACGUGGAUAACCUACCUAUAAGACUGGGAUAACUUCGGGAAACCGGAGCUAAUACCGGAUAAUAUUUUGAACCGCAUGGUUCAAUAGUGAAAGACGGUUUUGCUGUCACUUAUAGAUGGAUCCGCGCUGCAUUAGCUAGUUGGUAAGGUAACGGCUUACCAAGGCAACGAUGCGUAGCCGACCUGAGAGGGUGAUCGGCCACACUGGAACUGAGACACGGUCCAGACUCCUACGGGAGGCAGCAGUAGGGAAUCUUCCGCAAUGGGCGAAAGCCUGACGGAGCAACGCCGCGUGAGUGAUGAAGGUCUUCGGAUCGUAAAACUCUGUUAUUAGGGAAGAACAAAUGUGUAAGUAACUAUGCACGUCUUGACGGUACCUAAUCAGAAAGCCACGGCUAACUACGUG
rnacentral:rRNA from 1 species